UACGGAGGGUGCGAGCGUUAAUCGGAAUAACUGGGCGUAAAGGGCACGCAGGCGGGCUUUUAAGUGAGGUGUGAAAUCCCCGGGCUUAACCUGGGAAUAGCAUUUCAGACUGGGAGUCUAGAGUACUUUAGGGAGGGGUAGAAUGCCACGUGUAGCGGUGAAAUGCGUAGAGAUGUGGAGGAAUACCGAAGGCGAAGGCAGCCCCGUGGGCAUUUACUGACGCUCAUGUGCGAAAGCGUGGGGAGCAAACAGA
rnacentral:rRNA from 1 species